UGAAGACUUGGAGAGUAUUAGGGUUCACGUACAUGAGUGCGAGGAGGAACCUCUUUCGAGUUUUCUCCUUUCCUUUUACUGACUUUACUAGAAAACAGACGUUUCCGUUUAGAAGGGUCUUGCCAGACCUCCUGGAUGCCAUUCUGGGGAACCUGCUUGCAGAGCCCCCAGACACCAACAGGCUCCACUACAUCUUGGGGGUGAGCCCAAUGAGAGCACAUUAACUACUGGAUUGUGUCCAGGGUGUCUCAGGAGAGAGCCAGGGCCAUUAGGAGCAGCACGGCCCUGCUCAGAUUCACCAUCACCCUUCCUGUGUUUGAUGUCUUUGGCAAGUUCUUCUCGGAGGGGCAGAGAAGAUUCUUCCUCCGGACGGAGGGCAGUGCUGGCCAUCCACGACCCCCUGCUGCGUGUCAGCCAGGCUGGGCUGCUUCUCGCCUACUCACUCCUGGGGGAAGCCCAGCAGCUGAUGGGGGACAAGCCAAUCGAUUGCCCAGUGUCAUCACCCUGCCUACUCGCUGGGCAGGGUAACUCCUCAGGUCACCACCCUCUCCAGCCUGCUUUGGGCUUGGAGCGUGAGGAGGAGGGCGAGGGACAGCAGGCGACCCUGAACAUUCACCAUCCAUCGCUCCAUCACCUAGAGCAUGUGAGUGGCAUUAGGGUUCCUCUGUGGCAUCCCCUGUCUGUCUGGGGAGAGGCAGAAAGAGGGAGAGAGAAUCUCUCCCAGAGGAGAUUGGAUUUGCAAUCCAUGGGAGCAGAUCAUGCAAUGAAUUCCUGCCAGUGUGUGUAGACUGCACUCCCUGCACCCUGUUUCGGAGAGAAGGAGCUGCUCUGUCUGGGGCAGGGAUGAGGAGGGACAAAAAAGGCUGGUUAGUGAGAGGCUGCCUUGACCCCAGACUCAUGCCUGCUCCCCGCUCGGUUCCAGGAUGUCCAGGCUCCUGAGGAUGUUCAGGAAGAAGGCUCUGCAGGUGGCCCCAGAGCCUGAGGGAAGCAGGUGCCAUCUUCCCCAGGAGCAUAGUGGCACCUCCGAUCCCACUGGCGGGGAAGAAGUUCCCAGCCGGGCCAGGAGGUGGAAGUGCCCAGCCUUCUGGCAAGAGGAAACCCGCUCCCGGCACAGGUGCCGAGGUGGGAGAGGCACCGGCCAGGCCGAAAUGGAGAUGGUCCAAGAUGCAGCUGGGUAGGCAGGACCUAGCCCAGAAGGGGAGCUGGGCAGAAUAGCUCUGGGGCUUGUUGUGUGGGAAGCACUGGCCCCAAGAGCCCAGCCCUGAUUCCCAGCAGGAGGCAUCGCCCUGCCCGGUCACUGAGGAUCUUCCAGCCUCCCCAGGGCAGGAGGUGGAGGAUCCCUGUCCCAGCACCAGCAGCUUGGCCCGAUCCUCAUGAGAGAGCAGCAGCGCCUGGGACUCAGACAGCAGCGAGGCCGAUGGACGCCGCUGCUUUUUUCCAGGACCCCCAGGGACUCAGAGGACGAGGAGGAGGAGGAAAGGGUGGACGUGGCCACAGAGGAGGCUGCUCUCAAAAACAUCCGAGACCAACUCCAGGGCCGAGAAAAGGUGCAGGAUGAGGCCCAGCAGCUCAUGUUCCUGCACGCCAUCCACCCUGUGUGUCUCGCGGCAAAGCAGAGAGGGCAGGACAUGUUGGAGCUGCAGUGCUGCAAGGCGGCUGUGAUGGAGAGGAUUGUGGAUCUGCAUAGGGUCUUGCCAGACCUCCUGGAUACCAUUCUGGGGAACCUGCUUGCAGAGCCCCCAGACACUGACAGGCUCCACUACAUCUUGGAGCACAUUAACUACUGGAUCGUGUCCAGGGUGUUGCAGGAGAGAGCCAAAGCCAUUAGGAGCAGUACAGACCUACUCAGAUUCACCAUCCCCUUCCUGAGUUUGACGGCUGACCAUCCAGGAGGCCAAAGAGCUGUGGUGCUGGGACAGCAGGCUCCUGGGCUACAGGAACACGGCCAGGUUGGGGGAGGUCUUUGGCAAGUUCUUCUCGGAGAGGCAGAGAAGAUUUUUCCUCUAGACGGAGGGCAGUGCUGGCCAUCUACGACCCUCUGCUGUGUGUCAGCCAGGCUGGGCUGCUCAUCGCCUACUCCCUCCUGUGGGAAACCCAGCAGCUGAUGGGGGACAAGCAGGAGGACGUCACGGCCAAAGUGAUGCACCAGCUCCGCAUCAUCCGGCACUUGUGCCAGGUGCCUGAGGCACUGCAUGGGCUGUGCCUCUGUGGCCACCAGGAACUCCCACCCGCUCCCUGCUGCAGAGAGUCAGCCAGUGAAGCCAGUUUGCAGAAUGUGGAAGAGCUGUUUGGCGAUGGGUUGGAGGAUUCACCAUGUAGGUGGCAGCAGCUGCAGUGCCUGGGGUCUCCAUGGGCCAAGGCUCCACUCCUGACACACCAGGCUAAUCUCCCACUGCUCUCAGGGGGCUUUGGCUUUAGCUGCUGGGCCUGCGUGCCUAGAGAGAAGACUCCAGUAUUUCCAUCAGGCUGCUCAAUGGCAAAUAUAGCCAUCUACAGAAGUGAAGAAGAAUGGAAGUGAAAGAGUAAAGCUGGACCAUCCGCUGAGCUGCUGCAAUCAAGUGAGCAGAGCUGGGGAGAGAAGAGGGAGAACGCGAAGGUGGCUGGUGGCAGUAAGGAGGAAAAGCAGUUUGGGAGCCAGGAGUGUAGAAAUAAAUAGUUAAAGAUGAA